rnacentral:rRNA from 1 species
GACGAACGCUGGCGGCGUGCUUAACACAUGCAAGUCGAACGGAAAGGCCCUGCUUUUGUGGGGUGCUCGAGUGGCGAACGGGUGAGUAACACGUGAGUAACCUGCCCUUGACUUUGGGAUAACUUCAGGAAACUGGGGCUAAUACCGGAUAGGAGCUCCUGCUGCAUGGUGGGGGUUGGAAAGUUUCGGCGGUGGUGGAUGGACUCGCGGCUUAUCAGCUUGUUGGUGGGGUAGUGGCUUACCAAGGCUUUGACGGGUAGCCGGCCUGAGAGGGUGACCGGCCACAUUGGGACUGAGAGACGGCCCAGACUCCUACGGGAGGCAGCAGUGGGGAAUAUUGCGCAAUGGGCGGAAGCCUGAUGCAGCAACGCCGCGUGCGGGAUGACGGCCUUCGGGUUGUAAACCGCUUUCGCCUGUGACGAAGCGUGAGUGACGGUAAUGGGUAAAGAAGCACCGGCUAACUACGUG